AUGCUGCGGCCCCCCAUUCCCCCCACCCCCGGGCCACCUUGUUACACUUUACAUCCUGAGGCAGCGCAGGUCCGAGCCCGACCCGCCUUAGUUCUGGCAAUUUUCACAUCACAUAUUUUGAAGCUCUGUUUUUUGAAAAGCAUUUUAUUAAAUCCAACACCUCCUCAUGAUAACACUCAACAACAAACAAAGAAAAGAAGGAACUUCCUCAACCUGGCAAAGGACAUCUUUGAAACAACCACAGUUAAUAUCAUCAUUAAUGCCAAAAAACUGAAAGCUUUUCAACUAAGAUCAGGAAUAAGACAAGGAUGUUCACUCUCACCACUUCUAUUCAACAUCUUGCUACAGGUCCUGGCCUGAAGUUUGUGGCUAUAAAUGCUUACAUUAUAAAGGAAGAUAGAUCUCAAAUCAGCAACUUAACCUUGUACCUCAAGGAACUGAAUUAUAAAGGAGGAAGUAAACCAUUUCUGUUGCAAACGACAUAAUUUUGCAUAUAGAAAAAACUAAGAAAUCCACAUAUGAAAAAUCAGAGCUGAUAAACAACUUUAUCAGGUGGCAGGAUAUCAGAUUAAUAUACAAAAAUUGGUUCUAUAUGUAUUUGCAGUGAAAAAUAUGAAAAAAAUUAAAAUUCUAUUUACAGUAACAUCAAAAAGAAUAAAAUAGAAAUAUAUAUAUAUAUAUAUAUAUAUAUAUAUAUUUAUUUAUUUAUUUAUUUAGAGACCAAGUCUCUCUCUGUCACCCAGGCUGGAGUGCAGUGGUGUAAUUUCGGCACACUGCAACCUCUGCCUCCUGGGUUCAAGUGAUUCUCCCGCCUCAGCCUCCCAAGUAGUUGGGACCGCAGGCACCCGUCACCACUCCAGGCUAAUUUUUUUAUUUUUAGCAGAAAUGGGGUUUUACCAUGUUGGCCAGGCAGGUCUCAAACCCCCAACCCCAAAUGAUCCAUCCACCUCUGCCUCCCAAAGUGCUGGAAUUACAGACAUGAGCCAAUGUGUCUGGCCUAGGAAUACAUUCAACAAGAAAAUACAAGGGCCAGGCGUAGUGGGUCACAUCUGUAAUCCCAGUACUUUGGGAGGCCAAGGCAGGUGGAUUGCUUAAGCCCAGGAGUUCAAGACCAGCUUGGGCAACAUGGUGAAACCCCUUCUCUACAAAAAAUACACGAAUCAACUGGGCAUGGUGACACGCCCCUGCAGUACAAGCUACUCAGGAGGCUGAGGCCGGAGGAUCACUUGAGCCCAGGAAUUCAGGGCUAUAGUGAGCUGUGAUCACGCCAAUGCACUCCAGCCUGGGAGACAGGGCGAGGUCCUGUCUCAAAAAAAAGAAAAAAGAAAGGCAAGGCUUACACAUUGAAAGGUAUAGAACAUCAUAAAUGAUGCCAGACAUGGUGGCUCACAUCUGUUAUUCCCAGCACCUUGGGAGGCUAAGGAGGGAGGAACCCUUGAGCCCUGGAGUUUGAGAAUAGCGUAGGCAACAUAGGAAGAUGCUGUCUCUACCAAAAAAAAAAAUAAUUCGCCGAGCAUAGCAAGCACUUGUAGUCCCAGCCACUGGGGAUGCUGAGGUGGGAGGAUCACUUGAGCCCAGGAGGUUGAGACCGCAGUGAACUCUGAUUGCACUAUUGUACUUCAGCCUGGGCAACAGACCAAGACCCUGUCUCAAAAAAAAAAAAAAAAAAAAAAAGAUGAAAUUUUUCAUGUAUUCUGAUAAUGAAAUUAUGAAAGAAAUUAAAACAGAUCUAAAUAAAUUGAAAUAUCACAGAUACAUGUAUCAGAAAAAUGGAUAUUGUUACAAUGGCAGUACCACCCAGAAUCUCACUGUCUUGUUUACAAAAAUUUAUGUCCUGAUCAUGAAAUCCAUAUGGAAAUAAAAGAGAUACAGAAUAGCUUUUAAAAAAUCUUCAGGAAAGCAAUACUUAAAUACUCUAAUUUUAACACUUAUUACAAACCAAGACUUAAUGGGAUGCAGCAAAAGCAAUGCUGAGGGAAUGAAUUUUAUAGCUAUAAAUGCUUACAUUAUAAAGGAAAAUAGAUCUCAAACCAACAACUUUGUACCUCAAGGAACUGAAUUUAAGAGGGAAAUAAAUGUUCUUACUUUUCAGGUAGACAUUUACCUUUUCUGAUGUUUUAUUUUCUUGAAGAGAAUAACUACCUUCAUUAUUUAUUUCUGAACAGUUCUGCUGAUAACAAAUCAUCUUACUUUUCCUUUUUCUGAAAAUGACGUUAUUUCACCUUCAUUCCCAAAUGACAUUUUUGGUGAAGAUGAAAUUCAAGGUUGACUGUCUUUUUUUUUUUUCUUUUUAGCCCUCUAAAUGUCUUGUUCACUUUCUUCUGGCCUCCACAGUUUCUGCUGAGCAAUAUGUAAUCAUUUGAAUCACUGUUCUUCUGAAUAUAAUAUGUCAUUUUUCUUUUUCAUUUUUCUUUCUUUUAAAUUAUACUUUAAGUUCUAGGGUACAUGUGCACAACAUACAGGUUUGUUACAUACAUAUACAUAUGCCAUAUUGGUGUGCUGCAACCAUUAACUCAUCAUUUACAAUAGGUAUAUCUCUUAAUGCUAUCCCUCCCCCCAUCCCCUACCCCACAACAAACCCCAGUGUGUGAUAUUCCCCUUCCUGUGUCCAAGUGUUCUCCUUGUUCAAUUCCCACCUAUGAGUGAGAACAUGCGGUGUUUGGUUUUCUGUUCUUGUGACAGUUUGCUGAGAAUGAUGGUUUCCAGCUUCCUACAUGUCCCUACAAAGGAAAUGAACUCAUCCUUUUUUAUGGCUGCAUAAUAUUCCAUGGUGUAUAUGUGACACAUUUUCUUAAUCCAGUCUAUCAUUGAUGGAUAUUUGGGUUGGUUCCAAGUCUUUACUAUUGUGAAUAGUGCUGCAAUAAACAUAUGUGUGCAUGUGUCUUUAUAGCAGCAUGAUUUAUAAUCCUGUGGGUAUAUUCCCAAUAAUGUGAUGGCUGGGUCAAAUGAUAUUUCUAGUUCUAGAUCCUUGAGGAAUAGCCACACUGUCUUCCACAAUGGUUCAACUAGUUUACAGUCCCACCAACAGUGUAAAAGUGUUCCUAGUUCUCCACAUCCUCUCCAGCACCUGUUGUUUCCUGACUUUUUUAUUAUUAUUAUUAUUAACCUUUAUGUUCUAGGGUACAAUGAUGGCCAUUCGAACUGGUGUGAGAUGGUAUCUCACUGUGGUUUUGAUUUGCAUUUCUCUGAUGGCAAGUAAUGAUGAGCAUUUUUUCAUGUGCCUGUUGGCUGCAUAGAUGUCUUCUUUUGAGAAGUGUCUGUUUGUAUCCUUUGCCCACUUUUCGAUGGGGUUG
rnacentral:lncRNA from 1 species